UGGGGAAUCUUGCACAAUGGGCGAAAGCCUGAUGCAGCGACGCCGCGUGCGGGAUGAAGGCCUUCGGGUUGUAAACCGCUUUCAGCAGGGACGAGGCCGCAAGGUGACGGUACCUGCAGAAGAAGCCCCGGCUAACUACGUGCCAGCAGCCGCGGUAAUACGUAGGGGGCAAGCGUUAUCCGGAUUCAUUGGGCGUAAAGCGCGCGCAGGCGGCUACUUAAGUCCAUCUUAAAAGUGCGGGGCUUAACCCCGUGAUGGGAUGGAAACUGAGAAGCUGGAGUGUCGGAGAGGAAAGUGGAAUUCCUAGUGUAGCGGUGAAAUGCGUAGAGAUUAGGAAGAACACCGGUGGCGAAGGCGACUUUCUGGACGACAACUGACGCUUAGGCGCGAAAGCGUGGGGAGCAAACAGG
rnacentral:rRNA from 1 species